UUGCAUAUCAAAAAGCGGAGGAAAAGAAACCAACAGGGAUUGCCUUAGUAGCGGCGAGUGAAGCGGCAAUAGCUCAAAUUUGAAAUCUGGCACCUUCGGUGUCCGAGUUGUAAUUUGAAGAAGGUAUCUUUGGUUUUGGCUCUUGUCUAUGUUCCUUGGAACAGGACGUCACAGAGGGUGAGAAUCCCGUGCGAUGAGAUGCCCAAUUCCAUGUAAAGUUCCUUCGACGAGUCGAGUUGUUUGGGAAUGCAGCUCUAAGUGGGUGGUAAAUUCCAUCUAAAGCUAAAUAUUGGCGAGAGACCGAUAGCGAACAAGUACUGUGAAGGAAAGAUGAAAAGAACUUUGAAAAGAGAGUGAAAAAGUACGUGAAAUUGUUGAAAGGGAAGGGCUUGAGGUCAGACUUGGUUUUACCAGGCCAGCAUCAGUUUGGAUGGCAGGAUAAUAGCUUAGGAAUGUGGCACUGCUUCGGUAGUGUGUUAUAGCCUGGGUUGAUACUGCCUGUCUAGACUGAGGACUGCGUCUUUGACUAGGAUGCUGGCAUAAUGACCUUAAGCCGCCCGUCUUGAACCACGGACCA
rnacentral:rRNA from 1 species